rnacentral:rRNA from 1 species
GACGAACGCUGGCGGCGUGCUUAAUACAUGCAAGUCGAACGGAAAGGCCCUGCUUUUGUGGGGUGCUCGAGUGGCGAACGGGUGGGUAACACGUGAGUAACCUGCCCUUGACUUUGGGAUAACUUCAGGAAACUGGGGCUAAUACCGGAUAGGAGCUCCUGCUGCAUGGUGGGGGUUGGAAAGUUUCGGCGGUUGGGGAUGGACUCGCGGCUUAUCAGCUUGUUGGUGGGGUAGUGGCUUACCAAGGCUUUGACGGGUAGCCGGCCUGAGAGGGUGACCGGCCACAUUGGGACUGAGAUACGGCCCAGACUCCUACGGGAGGCAGCAGUGGGGAAUAUUGCACAAUGGGCGGAAGCCUGAUGCAGCAACGCCGCGUGCGGGAUGACGGCCUUCGGGUUGUAAACCGCUUUCGCCUGUGACGAAGCGUGAGUGACGGUAAUGGGUAAAGAAGCACCGGCUAACUACGUG